GAACAUAUGGAGAAUGUCUACUCCGAUGCACUUACGACCAUCGUGUCUAGGGAAUCCGGUUCCUAUUCCGGAACCCGGUAGCGGAACCGAAAUCCAUUCGGGCCCUCAUUGAGUGUUCGUCGGGGUAACCCAAAAUGACCUGGAGACGCCGUCGGGAGAUCCGGGGAGAGUUUUCUUUUCUGUAUAAGCGUUCGAGUUCCCUGGAAACUUCUAGCAAGGAGAUAGGGUUUGGAACGCGAAGAGCACCGCAGUUGCGGCGGUGUCCGGAUAUUCCCCUCGGACCUUGAAAAUCCAGGAGAGGGCCACGUGGAGGUGUCGCACCGGUUCGUACCCAUAUCCGCAGCAGGUCUCCAAGGUUAAGAGCCUCUAGUCGAUAGAUUAAUGUAGGUAAGGGAAGUCGGCAAAUUGGAUCCGUAACUUCGGGAUAAGGAUUGGCUCUGAGGAGCGGGGCGUGUCGGGCUUGGUCGGGAAGCGGGUCUGGCUGACGUGCCGGGCCUGGGCGAGGUGAACCUGUGGUGUCUCCGCAUGGGAUCCGAGCUCGGUCCCGUGCCUUGGCCUCCCGCGGAUCUUCCUUGCUGCGAGGCUUCCGUUGGCGGCCUGCCGUCGGCGGUCGUCCUCUUCGGCCGCCAUUCAACGCUCAGCUCAGAACUGGCACGGACUAGGGGAAUCCGACUGUCUAAUUAAAACAAAGCAUUGCGAUGGCCCCCACGGGUGUUGACGCAAUGUGAUUUCUGCCCAGUGCUCUGAAUGUCAACGUGAAGAAAUUCAAAAAAGCGCGGGUAAACGGCGGGAGUAACUAUGACUCUCUUAAGGUUGCAAAGACUUUCGCUCUCCGAGGUGGCGUCAUCUGUUCGUCCUGGGGACUAUCUUGCCCUCCAGAUUGCUAGGGCACGUAGGUGCCUUAGCGAUCACGGCGAACCCAUCGACACCCCUGCGAAGGAGUCGCGCCGUUGGGCUGCGGC
rnacentral:ncRNA from 1 species